AAAUGAGUUCUUGAGAGUCAGUGAGUUUCUCUUUCUGAUGAUUCAGAUUUUUAUCUUUAAGCUGUAAGAACAGCUCAAAUAGCCCAUGGAAGAACUAGCAGAACAUUUCAAUCAGAUUUAACACAUCUACAGCAUUGGAAGUUAAAUCUUCUAAAUCUGACUCUUGGUUUGUCGGCUGCAGCUUCUGGGUUCUCUGGAUUUGGAAAUGUGGAUGUUGUGGUGAUGAAAGAGGGGGUGGAGGAGGUCUAAGGAGGCUUUAACCGUCUCUGAUCUUCUUCUUCUUCUUCUUCAAGACCUCAGAUCAGAAAACAUCCAAACUGACAAAUAAAUGUUCUGCCUGACUAAGACCAGAACUUAAAGUUGUCCAGAAAGAGUCAGACGGGUCUGUUAAAGGUUCUACUAUCAGGUUUGUUAGAGGUUCUACUGUCUGGUCUGUUAGAGGUUCUACUAUCUGGUCUGAUAGAGGUUCUACUAUCUGGUCUGUUAGAGGUUCUACUGUCUGGUCUGUUAGAGGUUCUACUAUCUGGUCUGUUAGAGGUUCUACUAUCUGGUCUGAUAGAGGUUCUACUAUCUGGUCUGUUAGAGGUUCUACUGUCUGGUCUGUUAGAGGUUCUACUAUCUGGUCUGUUAGAGGUUCUACUAUCUGGUCUGAUAGAGGUUCUACUAUCUGGUCUGAUAGAGGUUCUACUAUCUGGUCUGUUAGAGGUUCUACUGUCUGGUCUGUUAGAGGUUCUACUGUCUGGUCUGUUAGAGGUUCUGCUAUCUGGUCUGUUAGAGGUUCUACUAUCUGGUCUGUUAGAGGUUCUACUAUCUGGUCUGAUAGAGGUUCUACUAUCUGGUCUGUUAGAGGUUCUACUAUCUGGUCUGUUAGAGGUUCUGCUAUCUGGUCUGUUAGAGGUUCUACUAUCUGGUCUGAUAGAGGUUCUACUAUCUGGUCUGUUAGAGGUUCUACUAUCUGGUCUGUUAGAGGUUCUACUGUCUGGUCUGUUAGAGGUUCUGCUGUCUGGUCUGUUAGAGGUUCUGCUAUCUGGUCUGAUAGAGGUUCUACUAUCUGGUCUGUUAGAGGUUCUACUAUCUGGUCUGUUAGAGGUUCUACUAUCUGGUCUGUUAGAGGUUCUACUGUCUGGUCUGUUAGAGGUUCUUCUAUCUGGUCUGAUAGAGGUUCUUCAGAGGAACAUCUUCAGUGAUAAACAUCCUUCAGUAGAACUCUAUCUCCUGGUGUUCUGAUGUUCUCUGUUCUCUGUCUUCAUAUCCUGAUAAACGGAGUCCCAGUCAUGUUUCACUUUGGUGUAGUUCCUGUGACCAGCCAGCAGAUGGCGGCGCUGCUCUGUGAUUGGACGCUGCUGAGUAUCAUUAUACCUCCAGACUGAAGCUUCGAUUCCUUGGUGUCCUGGUGGUUCUAGCUGCUGACGGUCAGGUGUUUCUGGAUGAAGACGUUAGAGGAGCAGCAGGAUUUCUGUAGUUUUUCCCUCCAGAGCAGCAGCUUUGGUCUGACAGCGGCGUGUUGUGGGAAGAUAGCGGGCGGCUUCUUCACACAAAGAUGCUGCUGGCAGCCGGCCGCCGCUCUGCUCCUCCUUGGAGCUGUCGCCCCACGUUAGUCACACCGCAGGAGAUAGACGGGCCUCCAGAUCGAGGCCACAAAAGGCCGAGAACCUCUGAGAACCGCUGAGAACCUCCUCAGGGACAGACGAGACGGGAUCCAUUAGAACGGCAUUAAAGGGGAGAACGUUCACAGAUUUAUCUGUGUUAUUUCACUGAA